UACGGGGGGGGCAAGCGUUGUUCGGAAUUACUGGGCGUAAAGGGCUCGUAGGUGGCCAACUAAGUCAGACGUGAAAUCCCUCGGCUUAACCGGGGAACUGCGUCUGAUACUGGAUGGCUUGAGUUUGGGAGAGGGAUGCGGAAUUCCAGGUGUAGCGGUGAAAUGCGUAGAUAUCUGGAGGAACACCGGUGGCGAAGGCGGCUCACUGGCCCGUAACUGACGCUGAGGCACGAAAGCGUGGGGAGCAAACAGG
rnacentral:rRNA from 1 species